AUCACGUCUCAGCCUUUUGACUAAGAUCAAGUGUAGUAUCUGAUGAUGUUCUACCAUAAUACUUUUCUUUUGAGACAGAGUCUCACUCUGUCACCCAGGCUGGAGUGCAGUAGCACAAUCUCAGCUCACUGCAAACUCUGCCUCCCAGAU
rnacentral:snRNA from 1 species